UGUAGAGUCCAACUAAACGGUAAAGUUUUCCAGAACUCAUAAUUCUGGAUUAUGCAGGUUCAACUCCGGCCUCUACCU
rnacentral:tRNA from 1 species